UACAGAGGUCUCAAGCGUUGUUCGGAUUCAUUGGGCGUAAAGGGUGCGUAGGCGGCGCGGUAAGUCGGGUGUGAAAUCUCGGGGCUUAACUCCGAAACUGCAUUCGAUACUGCCGUGCUUGAGGACUGGAGAGGAGACUGGAAUUUACGGUGUAGCAGUGAAAUGCGUAGAUAUCGUAAGGAAGACCAGUGGCGAAGGCGGGUCUCUGGACAGUUCCUGACGCUGAGACACGAAGGCCAGGGGAGCAAACGGG
rnacentral:rRNA from 1 species